rnacentral:rRNA from 1 species
UACGGAGGGAGCUAGCGUUGUUCGGAAUUACUGGGCGUAAAGCGCGCGUAGGCGGUUUUGUAAGUUAGAGGUGAAAGCCCGGGGCUCAACUCCGGAAUUGCCUUUAAGACUGCAUCGCUAGAAUCCGGGAGAGGUGAGUGGAAUUCCGAGUGUAGAGGUGAAAUUCGUAGAUAUUCGGAAGAACACCAGUGGCGAAGGCGGCUCACUGGACCGGUAUUGACGCUGAGGUGCGAAAGCGUGGGGAGCAAACAGG